rnacentral:rRNA from 1 species
CAAUAGCGUAUAUUAAAGUUGUUGCGGUUAAAAAGCUCGUAGUUGGAUUUCUGCCGAGGACGUCCGGUCCGCCCUCUGAGUGUGUACAUGGUACGGCCUGGGCAUCUUCUUGGAAAACGUAUCUGCACUUGACUGUGUGGUGCGGUAUCCAGGACUUUUACUUUGAGGAAAUUAGAGUGUUUCAAGCAGGCCUACGCCUUGAAUACAUUAGCAUGGAAUAAUAAGAUAGGACCUCGGUUCUAUUUUGUUGGUUUCUAGAGCUGAGGUAAUGAUUAAUAGGGAUAGUUGGGGGCAUUCGUAUUUAACUGUCAGGGGUGAAAUUCUUGGAUUUGUUAAAGACGGACUACUGCGAAAGCAUUUGCCAAGGAUGUUUUCAUUG